AACGAACGCUGGCGGCAGGCCUAACACAUGCAAGUCGAGCGGACCCUUCCGGGUUAUCGGCGGUCGUGGGAUUAACGCGUGGGAAUAUGCCCUUCUCUACGGAACACUUCUGGGAAACUGGGGGUCAGACCGCAUACGCUCUUUGGGGGUAAGAUUUACCGGGGCAGGAUUGGCGCGCGUUGGUUUAGGUGGUUGGUGGGGUAAUGGCGUCCCAAGGCGACGAUCCAUGGCUGGUGUGAGAGGAUGAUCAUCAACGCUGGGACUGAGACACGGCCCAGAAUCCUACGGAACGCAGCGGUGGGUAAUCUUAGACAAUGGGGGCAACCCUGAUCUAGCCAUGCCGCGUAAGUGAUGAAGGCCUUAGGGUUGUAAAGCUCUUUCAGCUGGGAAGAUAAUGACGGUACCAGCAGAAGAAGCACCGGCUAACUCCGUG
rnacentral:rRNA from 1 species